rnacentral:lncRNA from 1 species
UGGAGGGCGUUUUCCGCCACACUCCGUAUCCCGAAUUGUGGUUGCGACAGGAGCUUGCUAGACGCAUGGGUGUGACUGAAGCCAGGGUGCAGGUUUGACCGCUGGUAUGCUGGGAUCCCUCAAAGUGAGCCCUAUCACAGUGGCUUUUUAGACUACGUAUUCACACAGAAGGACCCAAACACUACGGUGGGAGAGUGAAAAUAAGGCAACAGGCAGAGAGAGGAGGAUGCAGACUGGGACUGUCCCAAAAUAGUAAACACAGCGUGAUUGAGCUGACUAGGAUGCUGAGGGGACAAUGUAGUCUAAAGGGCAGUUUUAUUUUUAGUUGUUUGGAUAUUUUGUGACCCCCUCACCCACACGGUUGUCGACUCUCUUCCCCAACCGCUGGUUCCAUCUUCUUGCCUUAAGCAUA